GGGGUUGUCAUCUAGCUUGGUCUAGGAUUCAGCCUUCGGGAGGCUGCAACUUGGGUUCAAAUCCCAACAACCCCA
rnacentral:tRNA from 1 species